UUUCCGUAGGUAAGCCUGCGGAAGGAUCAUUAUUGUAUAACCGAGGUGCGAGGGCUGUCGCUGACCCGAAAGGUCGUGCACGCCCGAGUGCCCUCACACACAUCCAUCUCACCCCUAUGUGCACCACCGCGUGGGUCCCCCUUUGGCUUGUUCGGAGGGGGGCUUACGUUUUCACACAAACUUUGUAUGCAGUGUAGAAUGUAUUUUUUGUUUUUGCGAUCACGCAAUCAAUACAACUUUCAACAACGGAUCUCUUGGCUCUC
rnacentral:misc_RNA from 1 species